rnacentral:rRNA from 1 species
AGAACGAACGCUGGCGGCAUGCCUAACACAUGCAAGUCGAACGAGACCUUCGGGUCUAGUGGCGCACGGGUGCGUAACGCGUGGGAAUCUGCCCUUAGGUUCGGAAUAACUCAGAGAAAUUUGAGCUAAUACCGGAUGAUGACGUAAGUCCAAAGAUUUAUCGCCUAGGGAUGAGCCCGCGUAGGAUUAGGUAGUUGGUGGGGUAAAGGCUCACCAAGCCGACGAUCCUUAGCUGGUCUGAGAGGAUGAUCAGCCACACUGGGACUGAGACWCGGCCCAGACUCCUACGGGAGGCWGCKGUGGGGAAUAUUGGACKAAUGGGCGAAAGCCUGAUCCAGCAAUGCCGCGUGAGUGAUGAAG